GUCCACGCCCUAAACGAUGUCAACUGGUUGUUGGGGAGUUUAUUCUCUUAGUAACGAAGCUAACGCGUGAAGUUGACCGCCUGGGGAGGUACGGUCGCAAGAUUAAAACUACAAAGGAAUUGACGGGGGCCCGGCCACAAGCGGUGGAUGAUGUGGAUUAAUUCGAUGCAACGCGAAAACCUUAACCUACGCUUGACAUGUCCGAAACCCUGCUGAAAGGUGGGGGUGCUCGAAAGAGAAUCGGAACACAGGUGCUGCAUGGCUGUCGU
rnacentral:rRNA from 1 species